UACGGAGGGUGCGAGCGUUGUCCGGAAUCACUGGGCGUAAAGGGCGCGUAGGCGGCGCGAGCAGUCGGCGGUGAAAGCCCGGAGCUCAACUCCGGGUCGGCCGUCGAUACUCUCGUGCUUGAGCACUGUAGAGGCAGAUGGAAUUCCGGGUGUAGCGGUGGAAUGCGUAGAGAUCCGGAAGAACACCGGUGGCGAAGGCGGUCUGCUGGGCAGUAGCUGACGCUGAUGCGCGACAGCGAUGGGAGCAAACAGG
rnacentral:rRNA from 1 species